AGUGAACGCUGGCGGUAGGCCUAACACAUGCAAGUCGAACGGCAGCACAGUAAGAGCUUGCUCUUACGGGUGGCGAGUGGCGGACGGGUGAGGAAUACAUCGGAAUCUACUUUUUCGUGGGGGAUAACGUAGGGAAACUUACGCUAAUACCGCAUACGACCUACGGGUGAAAGCAGGGGAUCUUCGGACCUUGCGCGAUUGAAUGAGCCGAUGUCGGAUUAGCUAGUUGGCGGGGUAAAGGCCCACCAAGGCGACGAUCCGUAGCUGGUCUGAGAGGAUGAUCAGCCACACUGGAACUGAGAAACGGUCCAGACUCCUACGGGAGGCCGCAGUGGGGAAUAUUGGACGAUGGGGGAAAGCCUGAUCCAGCCAUACCGCGUGGGUGAAGAAGGCCUUCGGGUUGUAAAGCCCUUUUGUUGGGAAAGAAAAGCAGCAGGUUAAUACCCCGCUGUUCUGACGGUACCCAAAGAAUAAGCACCGGCUAACUUCGUG
rnacentral:rRNA from 1 species